AUCCUCCUCCAGGAAACCCAUUUUGACACAAAAAAACCCUUUCCCCUCAUCAACAAAAACUACAAACAAUGCUACCUAGCAAAUUCGCCACAAGGCAAACAAAACGGAGUAGCCAUUAUGGUUCAUAAACACUGCCCGAUCACAAUCUUAAAAAGCCUCCCAGACCCCCAAGGGAGAUACUUGACGGUCACAGGACAUUUUGCCAAUCACAAGUACGCGAUUACCACAGUCUACGCCCCAAACACACCCGAACCAACUUUCUGGACAGCACUACGCACACAACUAAAACUGUUCCCCUC